UACGUAGGGUGCGAGCGUUAAUCGGAAUUACUGGGCGUAAAGCGUGCGCAGGCGGUUCGUUGUGUCGGCGGUGAAAGCCCCGGGCUCAACCUGGGAAUGGCCGUUGAAACUGGCGAACUGGAGUGUGGCAGAGGGGGGUGGAAUUCCGCGUGUAGCAGUGAAAUGCGUAGAGAUGCGGAGGAACACCGAUGGCGAAGGCAAUCCCCUGGGCCUGCACUGACGCUCAUGCACGAAAGCGUGGGGAGCAAACAGG
rnacentral:rRNA from 1 species